CCUAGUAACUGCGAGUGAAGCGGGAAAAGCUCAAAUUUAAAAUCUGGCGGUCUUUGGCCGUCCGAGUUGUAAUCUAGAGAAGUGUUAUCCGCGCUGGACCGUGUACAAGUCUCCUGGAAUGGAGCGUCAUAGAGGGUGAGAAUCCCGUCUUUGACACGGACUGCCAGGGCUUUGUGAUGCGCUCUCAAAGAGUCGAGUUGUUUGGGAAUGCAGCUCAAAAUGGGUGGUAAAUUCCAUCUAAAGCUAAAUAUUGGCGAGAGACCGAUAGCGAACAAGUACCGUGAGGGAAAGAUGAAAAGAACUUUGGAAAGAGAGUUAAACAGUACGUGAAAUUGCUGAAAGGGAAACGCUUGAAGUCAGUCGCGUUGUCCAGGGAUCAACCUUGCUUUUGCUUGGUGCACUUUCUGGUUGACGGGUCAGCAUCAAUUUUGACCAUUGGAAAAAGAUUAGGGGAAUGUGGCAUCCUUGGAUGUGUUAUAGCCCUUGGUUGCAUACAAUGGUUGGGAUUGAGGAACUCAGCACGCCGCAAGGCCGGGUUUUAACCACGUACGUGCUUAGGAUGCUGGCAUAAUGGCUUUAAUCGACCCGUCUUGAAACACGGACCAAGGAGUCUAACAUACCUGCGAGUGUUUGGGUGGAAAACUCGAACGCGUAAUGAAAGUGAAAGUUGAGAUCCCUGUCGUGGGGAGCAUCGACGCCCAGACCAGACCUUUUGUGACGGUUCUGCGGUAGAGCAUGUAUGUUGGGACCCGAAAGAUGGUGAACUAUGCCUGAAUAGGGUGAAGCCAGAGGAAACUCUGGUGGAGGCUCGUAGCGAUUCUGACGUGCAAAUCGAUCGUC
rnacentral:rRNA from 1 species